AAAAUAUUCGGCGGAAAAAAAAAAUUCACAUUUUCUACAUAAUGUUUGAGUUGUAAGGAAAAAAAUAUUUUUCAUCAACAUUUAUCAGGUUGAAAUUAAGGAAAAAAAUAUUCAUUCAUAUUUAUCUGGUCGAGUGAAAAAAUUUUACGAAGAUUGAGUUUUCAUUUUUCGUCGAAAAACAACAAAGAAAACAAAAACUUCAUUUUAUUUUUUUUCAGAUUCAUAAAAAUACUUUUAAAAGAUAGAUAUUUUACAUCAAACCAAAUAAGUAAAAAAAUAUUUUUUAUAUCAAAAAUAAUUUUUCGAUUUGUUCUAUGC
rnacentral:lncRNA from 1 species